UAUUUUCUAGAAGACCCCGGAAGAGUACUUUUAAAGGGACAUUGUCGCUCUCUGUCGUUGGAGCACGUAUGAAAAGAUUAGAAGCGUAAAGUCGCUGAGGGGCGUUGAGGUUGAGUAAAGCGAGGAACAGAAUGUGACCAAAAAUAGCUUUUUAGGUUAAACCGUGUAACUCCUACUCAUCCUUUCGAAACUGACCAUACAACAACUAGAAAGUCGUUUGCUAGUUAGGCGAAUUCAAAAGACAUCGUCUUGUCUCGAAGUGGUUUGACUUUAGCUUUUGAGGGCGAAGUAGAGUGAGGUGGAAAAGUCAGUGUUUUGCAGAUGAAAAGAAUGUUUGGUAGCUAGUUUAACCCCGUCACCGCCAGAUACUGUUGCCCCUUGUGAAGUGCAGUGGGAAAUAGCCCUCAGAUUGGGGAAUUGUCUAAUACUACUUGUCCUCAACCCGGAUUCAGUGCUGCUUCAAAGUGGAAAAGAGAAGAUCAGUGUGACACGUCUUACCAUAUUCAUCCACGACAGGACGGGCAGAGGUGUGGAGAGACGGUGUGCGAGAGCGUUGCUCGUCUAGGCACAGCAAUCCUGUAGGAAUGCUGAUAGUACAAUGAAGCCAGUGGAUGGUGUAUCACAUCCAGGUGCCCGUGAGGGGCAUGUCUGGGUUCUCUCCAUACCCAGGAGGACCUUGAGAAGAGUUGCAGUUCCCCCCAGUGACCUUUCACCUCACUGACAUUGAGCGUGUCCUGUGUCUGCACUGAGAAUCUUGUGCUUCCUGUCUGGGCAUGGUAUUGCUGGUUCAGGAGGGCAGCUUCACGAAUGGAUGGAUUCCUUUGCUAGAAGCAGCGAAGCAGCAGAG